rnacentral:rRNA from 1 species
AAUAGAUACCCUGGUAGUCCACGCCGUAAACGAUGAGUGCUAAGUGUUAGAGGGUUUCCGCCCUUUAGUGCUGCAGCUAACGCAUUAAGCACUCCGCCUGGGGAGUACGGUCGCAAGACUGAAACUCAAAGGAAUUGACGGGGGCCCGCACAAGCGGUGGAGCAUGUGGUUUAAUUCGAAGCAACGCGAAGAACCUUACCAGGUCUUGACAUCCCAUUGACCACUAUGGAGACAUAGUUUUCCCUUCGGGGACAACGGUGACAGGUGGUGCAUGGUUGUCGUCAGCUCGUGUCGUGAGAUGUUGGGUUAAGUCCCGCAACGAGCGCAACCCUUGUUCUUAGUUGCCAUCAUUUAGUUGGGCACUCUAAGGAGACUGCCGGUGACAAACCGGAGGAAGGUGGGGAUGACGUCAAAUCAUCAUGCCCCUUAUGACCUGGGCUACACACGUGCUACAAUGGACGGUACAAACGGUUGCCAACCCGCGAGGGGAGCUAAUCCGAUAAAACCGUUCUCAGUUCGGAUUGUAGGCUGCAACUCGCCUAC